CCUAACACUCAAACUGAACUCAGCGCGUCCCUCUUGCAGGCAGUGGUGUGACCACUGGAGCAGGCUGCUACAUUUCCACCCUCCGGUAUGUGCAUGGUUGAGACUCCCGUCCAUCCGUCUGUCAGUCCAGGGCACUGGUCACGCCAUGCUGCCUGGCACCAUUACAGCAGCCAUCACUCAGGCACAGAGCGAGCAUUAUUCAUGGUCCCGGAGGAGUUUGUCAGGAGGCGUGCCCGCAGGUGCUGUGACAGUGCUCUCGAUCACCCACUCUCCAGCAGCUCCCACGAACCCCACCAAGAUGGCAGCCCACGUCCCGGCCGUCCUCCCUGCCUCCCAGCCCCAGUUGAAUGGGAAUCGACAUUCUUCGAGCCACAUAACUCCUAGCGCCAUCAGGAGCUCUCCCCCCAAACACAUCGCCACUGGCGUGCGAGCCAUUACUUUCUCCCGGUGCUGCCUAGCUAGCGUACGAUACACUACACCAGAUCCAGUCUAUCUCAAAGCAGCUGCCUUGGAUCCAGCUUUUCUCUGAUGUGUGUGGAGCACCAUGUGCUGGUCAAGGAGGAGGUCAAGGAGGAGGUGGCACAAAGAGUGAAAGAAGUGAUUCUGCAAGAUGCUACAGGGACUGAGCAAGCUGUGCCUCUUGUUGAUGAGGAAGAGCGAGAGGACCAUAGUCUUGGACAAGAAGAAGGGCUGUUUGCAGCACACUGUAAGAGGCAGAAGAAAGCUGUCGGGACCACUCCAGCACUACAGCUAAGUCACUACCUUGACAUAUGCGAAGGACAGAAUGCGCUCUUGUUCUGAGCAAUGAACAUGAAGGCUCUUCCUUCACUGUCCCGAGCGGCCAUCAGGGUCUUGGCAGUGCCUGCCUCCAGUGCUUCGGUGGAGACUGCCUUCAGCCAGGGUGGCAUCAUACUGCGGCCUCAUCGUGUACAAAUGACUGACAGACUUUUUUAUCGAAUUUGGUCUUUUGCAAAUGCAAUGCAUCACAGGGCCCUGAGAUAAGAGAAGAAAAUGAAACUGUUUAUGCAUUACACACACACACACACACACACACACACACACACGUAGUUCAGGUUUUAUCUCCCAUCUUUGGGAUCUGUAUUUUUUUCUCAGACAUUCAGGCCAGUGUUCAAAUUGUAGUCCUACUUGAAGUUCGGUAGCAGUUGUUUUGAUGUACCUUUUAAUAAAUGAUUGUAACUUUAUGGCAGGAUUGAUUUAGGUGUCUAGAGUAUAUCUAGAGAGAGAGAGAGAGAGAGCACUACAAUAUUUAGUUUUUGUUGUCAUAUUGAUGUGUCUUUCUCAUGG